UUGCUUUUUUGAUGACGAGUGGGCGGACGGGUGAGUAACACGUAGGAAUCUACCGAGUAGCGGGGGAUAGCCCGGAGAAAUCCGGAUUAAUACCGCAUGUGCACUUCGGUGUAAAGAGGGCCUCUUCUUGAAAGCUCUCACUAUUCGAUGAGCCUGCGUCAGAUUAGCUUGUUGGUGGGGUAAUGGCCUACCAAGGCGACGAUCUGUAGCUGGUCUGAGAGGAGAUCAGCCACACUGGGACUGAGAACGGCCCAGACUCCUACGGGAGGCAGUGUGGGGAUAUUG
rnacentral:rRNA from 1 species